UAUCUUGCCAGGCAGUAGAGAUUCCAUGAUGGAGAAGGUAAUUUUCCAAGGGCAAGGCUCAUGCAUUGCACUUGGGGUGUGCAGACCCCUUUCAAUUUUUCUCCACUAGGGGUUCCCUGCAAAAUAGAAGCAAUUAAAAAUGUUUUAA
rnacentral:snRNA from 1 species